CCCCUCCGCGCUCCUGCCCGCCCCUGAGUACAACGGCGGCAGUUAACUCACUCGACGCCGCUGACCGAAUCGGAAAGCUCAGCGGAGCGUGAAGCUGCAUCGGGCGAGGCCAGCUAUGGAUUAGUGCCUGACGAGGUGCUUCACUGUGUCAUUAAGCCAGAUAAAAUCGGUUCAUUUAACUAGGGGAAAUUCAUCAUUGACCACAUGAUGCAGAACGCAAAAGAUGUGCAGCUUCACUACAAAAUCAAAAGCAAAAUAGGAUCGUGCCCAAUGGGAGGAUUUCAACUUUGUCUUCAGGUGUUCUUUGCGGAAUGGAUUGAUUUUGAAAGCAACAUGACAGCCAAUAUCUGGCCACUGCGUAU